UGCCCAGUGCUCUGAAUGUCAAA
rnacentral:ncRNA from 5 species